rnacentral:rRNA from 1 species
AUUGAACGCUGGCGGCAGGCCUAACACAUGCAAGUCGAACGAGUGGCGGACGGGUGAGUAAUGUCUGGGAAACUGCCUGAUGGAGGGGGUUAACUCCUGGAAACGGUAGCUAAUACCGCAUACCAUCAGAUGUGCCCAAAUGGGAUUAGCGAGUUGGUGGGGUAACGGCUCACCAAGGCGACGUACCCUAGCUGGUCUGAGAGGAUGACAAGCAACAAUGAAAGUGAGAAACGGUCCAGAGUCCAACGAGAGGAGGCAGUGGGGAAUAUUGCACAAUGGGCGCAAGCCGGAUGCAGCCAUGCCGCGUGUAUAAAGAAGGCCUUCGGGUUGUAAAGUACUUUCAGCGGGGAGGCGUUACCGACAGAAGAAGCACCGACUAACUCAGUGACAGCAGCCGCGGUAGUUC